GCCCGAUUAGCUCAGCUGGUUAGAGCGUCGUACUAAUAUAACAGUCUUCACUAGGAUAUCCUUGUGUGUUAUAUGUAGUCAAUGCGAAGGUCAACAGUUCAAUCCUGUUAUUGGGCA